CACCCCAUUCCCAUUAGCUACUGUGAAUUCACUUUCCUUUCUCGGAAGAGAGAGAAAAAAUGGGGGGAAAUCCAAGCUAGGGAUACCCUCCAGAAACCCUAACCCUAGCUCUCCAUCUAGGGCUUGAAAUCUUUAUUAACGGCGCUGAAAUCUCUCCUUCAAGAGGAUUUUCGUAUUCGAUUGGGUGCCUGGAUUUACAAGAAAUCUUUCCUCAUCCCAGAUCGUUUCAAAGCUCUCUGAUCGUUCGAUACAUCGGGUUUCGUCCCAGAGAAAUUCGAUCUGCAAGCUCGGUCCGUAUCGGUUCUCUAAGCAAUCUGUCGAUGCUCGACGUCAUAUAGGAUUUGAUUUCUCAUCUAGUGCCCUUGUCGUCAUCGGGUUAUGGUAUUCGGAUCCUAAAAGGCUGUGAUUUUCUCAUUGAAGGCUUCAUCUUCGUCAGAUCGUGGCAGAUUCCUCCUCUUUGAAGGUUUUUGAUCGAAUCAAUUUGAGAAGCAGACAUUCAAAGCACUAAUCUUGUUUGAUCUCUAAUCAAUUUGGAGCGAUUGUGUACUGGAUGUUCGACGAAAUGGGAUUUGAGGCUUUUGAAUUGUGAUGUGUACCAGAUGUUCAAUGAAAUGCCAAAGGGAGACAUGCAUGGGAUGUGUACUGGAUGUUCAACGAAAUGGGAUUUGAGGCUUUUGAAUUGUGAUGCGUACUAGAUGCUUAAUGAAAUGCCAAAGGCAGACAUGCAUGGGAUGUGUACUGGAUGUUCAACGAAAUGGGAUUUGAGGCUUUUGAAUUGUGAUGUGUACCCGAUGUUCAAUGAAAUGCCAAAGGGAGGCAUUCAUGCCAAAUGUUUGAUAUGAUAACUCAUAGAAACUUUUGCAGUGAUAUGUGUGCUCAACAUGGCAAAGUAGGCAUUUUCAAUAACGAUGGGAAAAACUGAUGCAGGCUAAUGCAGGGGGUUCUGGCAUAGUUGAUGUAAGCUGAAGCAGGGGGUUCUAGCAUAGGAUGAGAAUUGGAUGGGAAGGCAUUGUCAUGGAGAGCUGGAGAAUCUACACCAGGCUAUGUCAUGGGUUAGAAUGGCAGUCAAUUAUGGGACACUGCUUUCACUGUUCAGGCAAUAAUCUCAACUAGCCUUCUUGAGGAAUUUGGUCCAACUCUUAAGAAAGCGCAUGAGUACAUAAAGAAUUCGCAGGUUUUGGAAGACUACCCUGGUGAUCUUAGUUUCUAGUAUUGUCACGUUUCUAAAGGUGCAUGGCCUUUCUCAACUAGAGAUCAUGGAUGGUCCAUAUCAGAUUGCACUGCAGAAGGUUUAAAGGCUUCACUCUUAUUGUCGUAGAUUCCAUCAAAAACUGUUGGUGAACCAAUCGAUGCAAACAGAUUGUACGACGCGGUGAAUGUCAUUCUUUGACUACAUGAAUUCGGAUGCCAAGAAGUCAUGAUGUUCUGUGGUGUGUUUGAUGGCCAUGGCCCUUGGGGACACUAUGUAGCAAAAAGGGUCAGAGAAUCACUGCCAUCGUCUCUGCUUUGCAAUUGGCAGGAGACUCUUGCUAUGAGCUCAAUUACAUCAGAAUUCCUUUUGGAAUCUAAUAAAAUGCUUAAUCGAUUUGACAUUUGGAAGGAAUCUUAUUUGAGAACUUAUUGAAAUGAGUGAUUCACUUAGGCAA